AGAAUACACAGGCUCCUUGGUGAUGGAUUCUUGCAAGCCCAGCUGAGCUGAUGAAGACGGCCAAGGCUUUGCUAAGAGGACCAGAGUCAACAACACUGACACCCAAGAGGAACCAGGUAGGUACUCUAAUGACUGAAAACACCCAUUGUGUAUACAAUAUUGAUUUUCAAAAUAAUCCCAAGGCUCAGAUGUUAUUAACCGCAUUCUACAAAAGAUGAAGGGUUUUGGGAACUUGGCCAAGGAGGAAGUGAGAUGGCCAGAAUUUGAACUUGGCCAACCUGAUUUCAAACCUCAGGAAUUUUCCUAACCCAAAAUGGAAAGGACAGACAUCAUUGGUGGGAAAAGUAAGACUCCCAUACCCAGAACACUCUGUCUCCAAGAAUGGAGCCUGCUGGGAAGUACAGAAGCAAAUGUGAAUUUUUGUGACGUGUGGGUAAUGUCUGUUAGGGGGCUCGCUUAAGUUCUUUUUCAGCUAGCUGGUCACCCAGUUCUGGUGACAGAUGCCUGUGAACCUGGAGAUGCAGGAGGAAGUAAGAUCGGUCUGUGUCACUCCCAUGGGGCUGGAAUGUAAAAGCAUCCCAGAGGAGGGGUCAAACCAGAGCAGGACCACUGUGACCUGGGCAGUUCAUGCUCAGUGCUCAGCUAGCCUUCUUUAUAAGAUGUAAUAGAGACUGCCGGGUAGAAGCUACAUGAAAUGUUUGUACCAGGGAGGACAUGUGGAGGGUCCCAGAACCCCAUAGCUCUGUUAAAGCAAUUAAAGGCCACCAAACCCAUCUCCAUCAUUCUGUGAAUCUCCUGAAAAAAAAUCAAUGAAAUCCAAUACCUUGAAAAGCUCAAUGCCAUCUUUAUAUAAGGGCUUGGACAAAAUCCAGCAUGUUAAAACACAUGCCUGGGUUUGAGUUAAACAUUUAAAUAGGGCCAAAUUACUUAAUACCAUUCAGGGCUUUAAUCUAAUUUGAAGUGCAGAAAAGGGAAAUACACUGUGUGUUCAGAGACAGCAUGGGUCCCAUAACCCCAUAAACAGGAAAGUUCAGAUUUCAGAGCAGCAGCAGAAUUGUCUCUUGUUUUAUAACCUGGCAUGCCAGAGCAGAGCCAGGGAGCAUGCCUGGCUAGCUGGUCUCAGCGAGGCUUCCCAAGUCAAUACGUGGUGUGUUCCUCACUGCCCUUCUCUUGACACAAUGUACUUCACAAAAAUCCAUAGCCAGGUUCAAAGAGGAAGAAACAAAAGAAGAUAGACAGCAUUUUAAAAAUAGCCCUACCUUGGGGAUGUGUACAGAAUUUAUGCAUGGUUUGGGUGCCCUUCCUGUGUGUAAUUAAAAGUCCACAGACAAAUUCCAAUCUGAAGCCAAAGAGAAUUUGGGUUGAAGGCAUGGAGCUCACGCCCUGCCAAGCACACCAGGGGGGUGAGCAGCACGCUGCAUGAGGAACAUUAUGGAAAGACAGGGACCAGAGGGUCUAAGUUAAUCAGAGCAAAAAUGUACUCAGCUGCCUAAAAUCAACAAGACAAUCAAGGUGCCAUGGAAGUGGGAGCAUGUGAUUUUCCCUCUGCUGCUGUAGACACUCUACACACCCUCAAUGCAUCUCCUCGGUUACCUGCCAGCUCUGAUCCACUCCUAGGGCCAAAUGCCCAUCUGCCACCUAACUCAGUGAGAAUACAGUUGGGGUGGGUGCUUAGGACCCAGAGCAGAGGCCACUUGGGUCACGCCCAUCUGCAGCUGCAUCUUGCUCCUUUCUAAAGCAGAUUCUGUGUAGAAGCCCUGGGGCAACAGACUCCAAGCUAUAAGGGGCCUACUGGAAUAAACUCUAAAAAGGAAUCUGUUUUACCCUCGUUACAGAAGAGCUAUGAAAAGAAACUCUCUACCCUGUCAACCCUCUGCCCACCUCGUCCCCUAAAGGGGACCAUCCCAAGGGUGUGUCUAGUGGCUUUGUUGCCACGGUGAUAUUGUGUCAACACAGCAGCCGCUGACUGUCCCCAGAGGUGAACCACACCCAUUCAUUAAGUUCUGACCAUCAUCAUAUGUCACUGCCACCUGGUCCCUUGGAAGAUGGAGGGGUUUUUCCCAAUAAUGGUAAGGUCAUCAUGGUCAUGACAGGCAGAAGCCGCUACCGGCACUACUUUUAUCUAUUUAUUUUGAAGAGGGUCUCAAGUAUCUCAAUCUGAACUUGAACUUUCUGUGUAGCCAAGGGGGACUUUGACUUUGAGCCUCCUGCUUCCACCUCCUGAGUCAACAGGAGGUUCCACAAUGCCAAGUUUAAACAGUGCUAGAGAUGAAAUCCAGAGUUGCACUCGACUGGCUGAGCCACAUCCCCAUCCUCUGUUACUUCUUGAGAAGAUAUUCUGGAUUCUAUUUGGGAAUCCUACUUCAGAGCAGAGGCUUCCCACUUGGAACAGUGAGUGACCCUUCUUCGGAGAAGAGUGAGAUCAACCAGGGCCAAUAGUACCUUUGCUGGUAGUCAAAGUGGUACCUGCACAUGACUUCCUGUAACCCUCUAAUUAAACAGAGGUACUCCAAAGGAGAA